UCGAAACCUGCACAGCAGAACGACCCGCGAACUCGUUUACCAAACCCCGAGGGGCGGGGCUUGCCCCUAACCCUGCGGUGCCGAGACGUGCCUCCUUCCCCUCCCCUUCAAAGGGGCGGUGGGGCGGCGCGCGACGGCAAGUACCCAAACACCGGCGCGGGUUGCGCCAAGGACUAUGAAAUUCUACCGCGUUUCCCGGCCCCGAGCAAUCAGGCGCCGCGGGGACUGCGUGUUGAAAGAUAUAACUGAACGACUCUCGGCAACGGAUAUCUCGGCUCUCGCAUCGAUGAAGAACGUAGCGAAAUGCGAUACUUGGUGUGAAUUGCAGAAUCCCGUGAACCAUCGAGUCUUUGAACGCAAGUUGCGCCCGAAGCCAUCCGGCCGAGGGCACGUCUGCCUGGGCGUCACGCAUCGCGUCGCCCCCUCCCCCUCCACUGCGGUGCGGGGGAGGGGCGGAGUAUGGCCCCCCGUGCGCCACAGCGCGCGGCCGGCCUAAAUACGGAGCCCGUGGCCGCGAGCGCCGCGACGUUUGGUGGUUGAAUAUCGAGCAUCGCGUCGCGCGCCGCAGCGUCCUCGGAGUCCUCGAAGGACCCUUAGGCGAAGCAGCCUACCCUUGCGACCCC
rnacentral:rRNA from 1 species